rnacentral:rRNA from 1 species
UACGGAGGGGGCUAGCGUUGUUCGGAAUUACUGGGCGUAAAGAGCUCGUAGGCGGCUUGUCGCGUCGACUGUGAAAACCCGCGGCUCAACCGCGGGCUUGCAGUCGAUACGGGCAGGCUAGAGUUUGGUAGGGGGAGACUGGAAUUCCUGGUGUAGCGGUGAAAUGCGCAGAUAUCAGGAGGAACACCGGUGGCGAAGGCGGGUCUCUGGGCCAAUACUGACGCUGAGGAGCGAAAGCGUGGGGAGCGAACAGG